rnacentral:rRNA from 1 species
UACAGAGGGUGCGAGCGUUGUCCGGAAUCAUUGGGCGUAAAGCGCGUGUAGGCGGCUCGGUAAGUCCGCUCUGAAAGUCCAGGGCUCAACCCUGGGAUGCGGGUGGAUACUGCCGGGCUCGAGUCCGGAAGAGGCAAGUGGAAUACCCGGUGGAGCGGUGAAAUGCGUAGAGAUCGGGUGGAACACCAGGGGCGAAGGCGGCCUGCUGGCUCUUGACUGACACUGAGGCGCGAGAGCGUGGGGAGCAAACGGG